UACGAAGGGGGCUAGCGUUGCUCGGAAUCACUGGGCGUAAAGCGCACGUAGGCGGAUUGUUAAGUCAGGGGUGAAAUCCUGGAGCUCAACUCCAGAACUGCCUUUGAUACUGGCGAUCUUGAGUCCGGGAGAGGUGAGUGGAACUGCGAGUGUAGAGGUGAAAUGCGUAGAUAUCUGGAGGAACACCGGUGGCGAAGGCGGCAUCCUGGACCGGUAUUGACGCUGAGGCGCGAAAGCCAGGGGAGCAAACGGG
rnacentral:rRNA from 1 species